rnacentral:lncRNA from 1 species
UGUAAUAUAUUCUGGUGCCUCAUGGAUGGCACAAGGGUUAACAAAUGCACAGGCAAUGCUGAGAGCUGGAACACAAGAGCCCAGGAAAGACACAGAGAGUAAGCUUUGAGAGACUACUGAGAGGAUAGACAGUUUGAAAAUUUAGCCCAUUUUAUAAAUAAGUAACUGCUUCAAAAAGAAGUUGUGAUGCCCAGUGUCCUGCUGGCUGUGCACUGGCCUAGGACACACUACACUCUGCUGCUGCACAUCAGCACACAAUCCUGCAGUUCACCCCUGCUGUGCUCCACAGCACCCUGUAUUGUGCUAUUCGAGGGCUGUUAGUACUGCUGAUCACUGCACCAUCUAAUCACUUCCCUCCCCAACCUCUUCUACCUUCAUAUAGCAUGAUCAAUUAUUUUUCCUUUUUCUGUCAUGAUAACAAAUGGCAUUUUAUGCCUUGUCUUUAGCAGGACCAUAAGUUUUCAUUCUGCAGUUUAACCAUUCUUAUUUAUUAUCAUUAUGCUGAGCUCUGAAUUAGUGUUGAGUUUUAGGGAAAUUUCUAUUUAAAAUUUUCAAGUAAUAUACUCACUGCUUCUAAAGGAAUAACCACUGUAGAAGCUCUGAUAUUAAAGCAUCUGUGUGCGUUCCAGCAACUGAAAUCUGGGUUAGAUUUUAAAUUCACUCCCUGUAUCAAAAUAAGGAGCACUCAUGCUACUGAAUGUUCCCAUUCAGAGGGCCCUCUCCUGCUGAGGCACUGAAAUACUUAAUCCAUCCAUUCUAAGAGCUGUCCAGUUGUUGCAAAAACAUAAAUUGACAGAAAUCAUACGAAGUAAACAUUAACCUCAGCCUCAGAGUAGGAUGAUUACUUAAGCUGAAGGUGCAGAAGAGGCAUGAGAGAAAGCACUUCCUCAGUCUGACAGAGUUCUGACUGUCUGGGAUCAGCCACCCUUUUGAUAUGAGAUGGACAAGCUCCUUCCAGAAGUGGUUCUAUACCAGUGGUUUGUUGUAAUGCUCUUUAUGUUGGGAGAUGGUCAAUCCCUCAGAAGUCCCUCACAAAUCCUCAUCCAUGGUAAGAAAAGUAGAUACAGCAUCUUCGGGAGUCAUUGAUG